UGCGGAUGCAAUGAUGACAAGAUUUUUAAUCCCAGCUCAUUAUGAGACCUUCUAAUCGGAGGUCUGGGAAAACAUCUCCAUUCCAUUUUCUCUGAGCCCAAA
rnacentral:snoRNA from 1 species